rnacentral:rRNA from 1 species
CCUACGGGUGGCAGCAGUGAGGAAUAUUGGUCAAUGGGCGCGAGCCUGAACCAGCCAAGUAGCGUGAAGGAUGACUGCCCUACGGGUUGUAAACCUCUUUUAUAAAGGAAUAAAGUGAGGCACGUGUGCCUUUUUGUAUGGACUUUAUGAAUAAGGAUCGGCUAACUCCGUGCCAGCAGCCGCGGUAAUACGGAGGAUCCGAGCGUUAUCCGGAUUUAUUGGGUUUAAAGGGAGCGUAGAUGGGUUGUUAAGUCAGUUGUGAAAGUUUGCGGCUCAACCGUAAAAUUGCAAUUGAUACUGGCAGCCUUGAGUGCGGUUGAGGUAGGCGGAAUUCGUGGUGUAGCGGUGAAAUGCUUAGAUAUCACGAAGAACUCCGAUUGCGAAGGCAGCUUACUGGACUGCCACUGACGUUGAUGCACGAAAGUGUGGGUAUCAAACAGGAUUAGAUACCCUUGUAGUC